CCAUCACAGCCGAUGUGUUUUCAAUGAAUACACACAUUUAGAAAUCAGCUGGCAAUCGCAGCAGCUCCAGAAGUGAAAUCUUAGGAAUAAAAACACACGACAGUUUUUCAAUCACGCUUCAAAUCAGCUGGUAACACAUCGGUAGUGGAACAAGUUGUCAGACCCGGUAACCGCAAGUUGCCUCAGACUAGCUUGGUGACGACGUUAGCAAAACUGUCAGUUGCUGUCGGUUAACCAACAACAGCGGGAUGAAAUAAAGAAGUUUGCCAUAAAGAUCAAAGUCAUUUUCCAAAAUGCAUUUUUAACAAAAGGGCCAUGGAGGACUGCCGUGUUAUGGAAUGAGCUCUCCCCUACGCCUCGGCGUCCCAGGUCCAAAAGAGAGAGAGAGGGAGGGAGAAAGAGAGAGAGAGAGAGUGCUGCUGCUUAGCUCCUGCUUCAGCACGCCGACUACUGUUUCAAAAACAGAUUGGGUUGUUGGUUUUGAGAUGGAAUGUCACAGCCUCUUCUCCUCUGGUUGGGGAAUUACCUUCACCAAGGGAACAGACUAAAUAAAUGUGUCUGUGUUUUGU